rnacentral:rRNA from 1 species
CCUACGGGAGGCAGCAGUGAGGAAUAUUGGUCAAUGGGCGCGAGCCUGAACCAGCCAAGCCGCGUGAAGGAUGACUGCUCUGCGUGUUGUAAACUUCUUUUAUAAAGGAAUAAAGUCAGGCACUUGUCCCUUUUUGUAUGUACCUUAUGAAUAAGCAUCGGCUAACUCCGUGCCAGCAGCCGCGGUAAUACGGAGGAUCCGAGCGUUAUCCGGAUUUAUUGGGUUUAAAGGGAGCGUAGAUGGGUUGUUAAGUCAGUGGUGAAAGGUUGGGGAUCAACCGUGGAUUUGCUGUUGAUACUGGCAGUCUUGAGUGCAGGAGAGGUAGGCGGAAUGCGUGGUGUAGCGGUGAAAUGCUUAGAUAUUACGAAGAACUCCGAUUGCGAAGGCAGCAUACUGGA